rnacentral:rRNA from 1 species
GACGAACGCUGGCGGCGUGCUUAACACAUGCAAGUCGAACGGAAAGGCCCUGCUUUUGUUGGGUUCUCGAGUGGCGAACGGGUGAGUAACACGUGAGUAACCUGCCCUUGACUUUGGGGUAACUUCAGGAAACUGGGGCUCAUACCGGAUAGGAUCUCCUGCUGCAUAGUGGGGGUUGGAGAGUUUCGGCCGUUGGGGCUGGUCUCGCUGCUUAUCAGCUUGUUUGUGGGGUAGUGGCGUACCAAGGCUUUGAAGGGUAGCCGGCCUGAGAGGGUGACCGGCGACAAGGGGCCUGAGGUAGGGCGCAGAAUGGAACGGUAGGCAGUAGUGGGGAACAUUGCACAAUGGGCGGAAGCCAGAUGUAACAACGCCGCGUGCGGAAUGACGGGUUUCGGGGUGUAAACAGCUUUCGCAGGUGACGAAGAGUGAGUGACGGUAAUGGGUAAAGAAGCACCGGCUAACUACGUG